GCCGGGUGCAGUGGCACAUGCCUAUAGUCCCAGCUACUCAGGAGGCUGAGGCUGGAGGACCGCUUGAGUCCAGGAGUUCUGGUCUGUAGUGCACUAUGCCGAUCAAGUGUCCACAUGAAGUUUGGCAUCAAUAUGGUGACCUCCCGGGAGCGGGGAACCACCAGGUUGCCUAAGGAGGGGUGAACUGGCCCAGGUCGGAAAGGGAGCAGGUCAAAACUCCCAUGCUGAUCAGUAGUGGGAUCACACCUGUGAAUAGCCACUGCACUCCAGCCUGAGCAACAUUGCGAGACCCCGUCUCU
rnacentral:SRP_RNA from 1 species